UGUUUUAGGUAUCAUAUCAUGAUUUAAUAGGGAAAGUGGUGAAAAUCCACUGCAGCCCCCGCUACUGUAGACGGAGACGAAACCAAAUCCACUGGAGGAAUCUGGGAAGGAUGGUGGAGAGUGACCCGUAAGCCAGGAGACCUGCCUAGAGCU
rnacentral:ncRNA from 1 species